rnacentral:rRNA from 1 species
UACAGAGGUCUCAAGCGUUGUUCGGAAUCACUGGGCGUAAAGGGUGCGUAGGCGGCGUGGAAUGUCAGAUGUGAAAUCCGGAGGCUCAACCUCCGAAUUGCAUCCGAAACUUCCAUGCUGGAGAACUGUAGAGGGGUCUGGAAUUCUCGGUGUAGCAGUGAAAUGCGUAGAUAUCGAGAAGAACGCUCGUGGCGAAGGCGAGACUCUGGGCAGUUUCUGACGCUGAGGCACGAAGGCUAGGGGAGCAAACGGG